UAUAAGGGUUUAGGAGCAGAAGCUUGGGAAUCAGAUAAAUCUCAGUUGGAAUUUUGCUCUGCAGCAAGCAUCUAUGGUAUACUAGGCAAGCAUGCUACAAGUGUGUGUGAAUGUAUGGAGAGGCAGAGGACACUUGACUGUCUCGUUUCUUCUGCUGGAUCCCCAACUCCUCAGGGACAUUGGCUUCUGGCUGUCUUUCUAUAUGACUUCCCCCCAUGAUGAUGGACAGACUCCUGUGAACUGAAAGCCAUCAGGAGAGAGGUGGAAGAUUUCUUAGUUGAUCUGAGGCUAAUGGGAGAGGGAAACUUACAAAGCAGAGGGUGCCUGAAAUUUCCAGCUAGUGUUAAGCGGCCAUAACAAAGUAUAACCCAUGGCUUCAAUUUGGUCUGUCAAAGAUGAAAUUAAAAGUGAAUUUGAAGUUUCACAACA